UACGUAGGGGGCAAGCGUUGUCCGGAAUUAUUGGGCGUAAAGAGCGCGUAGGCGGUCCGAUAAGUCGGCUGUGAAAGUCAAGGGCUCAACCCUUGAAAGCCGGCCGAUACUGUCGGACUAGAGUCCGGAAGAGGCAAGUGGAAUUCCCGGUGUAGCGGUGAAAUGCGCAGAUAUCGGGAGGAACACCUGUGGUGUAGACAGCUUACUGGACCACUUCUGACGCUGAGACACGAAAGCGUGGGUAGCAAACAGG
rnacentral:rRNA from 1 species